rnacentral:rRNA from 1 species
GAUGAACGCUAGCUACAGGCUUAACACAUGCAAGUCGAGGGGAAACGAUGAGAGAGCUUGCUCUCUUAGUCGUCGACCGGCGCACGGGUGAGUAACGCGUAUCCAACCUGCCUCUGACCAAGGGAUAACCCGUCGAGAGUCGGACUAAUACCUUAUGCAGUCGUCGGAAGUCAUCUGAUGACGACGAAAGAUUUCAUCGGUGAGAGAUGGGGAUGCGUCUGAUUAGCUUGUUGGCGGGGUAACGGCCCACCAAGGCGACGAUCAGUAGGGGUUCUGAGAGGAAGGUCCCCCACAUUGGAACUGAGACACGGUCCAAACUCCUACGGGAGGCAGCAGUGAGGAAUAUUGGUCAAUGGGCGUAAGCCUGAACCAGCCAAGUAGCGUGCAGGAUGACGGCCCUAUGGGUUGUAAACUGCUUUUAUGCGGGGAUAAAGUGAGGGACGUGUCCUUCAUUGCAGGUACCGCAUGAAUAAGGACCGGCUAAUUCCGUG